UACAGAGGAGCCAAGCGUUGUCCGGAUUGACUGGGCGUAAAGCGCACGCAGGCGGUUGCGCGCGUGGGGUGUGAAAUCUGGCCGCUUAACGGCCAGGCGCCAUCCCAUACGGCGCGACUGGAGUGAUGCAGAGGUCGAUGGAAUUGCCGGUGUAGUGGUGAAAUGCGUAGAGAUCGGCAGGAACACCCAGGGGGAAACCAGUCGACUGGGCAUCACCUGACGCUGAGGUGCGAAAGCGUGGGGAGCAAACAGG
rnacentral:rRNA from 1 species